rnacentral:lncRNA from 1 species
CAGGUUCCUUCUGUUACUAUAACUGCAUUCUGUCUGCAUGGGAGCCACAGAUAUUGUAGGCCAGAAAUCUGCAGCUUAAUGUCAGAGCUAGAGAAUAGGUCAGAGCUAGACACGGAGUACAAGAGCAGGAUAGAUUUGUUACCAAUCCUUGUAAUAAUCAGAUUGAACAUGAGUGCCCCUAGAGAGACACCACGGAGAGAACUAGAGAGGUGACAAUUGGCAGAACCAACAUGAGGUCAGACAUUCCACAUUCCACAAACCAAGCCAAGUAGGGGAAACCAGGAAACAAUUUAAUCGAGGCCAUCAGUCUAGUAAUCAUCCAUUUACAGGAGUGAAAGUUAUUGUCAACAUAUAAUUCGAAGUAUGUAUGUCCGCAGCAAGAGAGUUAAUGUCGUAUUGCCAGAUUUAGGGGGGAGAAAUCUGUUUUAUCAUCUUUUUGUGACAUUGAUUUUAUCCAAUCCAUUUGUAAAGUAUUGAAAUGUUAGAUGAUCAUCAAAGUCACAGCUGCAGCUUCAGGUGGAAUCUGGUUUCGUAAAAUAGACUUCCUGGCAGCCAGUACAUGUGAACAAAUUUAGUAGGAGAUUUGGAAGUACUGACUAAUAUCGUCCGUGGGUACUUCCACUAACUUGCACAGCUGAUCACUAUACCAAGUGCUAUUACCUAGGCUUGAGUCCCUUUAUCCACCAGCAUUUACAUUAACCCAUUUUUCAAUUUUAUUAACGUUAAGGACCAUGGCUCUCUUUACAUUUCUGUGGUGUAGUGGAGCUCCCUACCUCCGCCAAAGGACAAACCAGGGGACAAACGGCAGCACUUCUGCCCACAGUCACCGUAGCUGGACUGGGGCCCUGGAACUGCUCCUUCCUGGAGCUGAAUGGGGAAUUAUCUCUAGUCCUUACAAGGACUUUCCUCGUUGAAUCUCCUGCAAGCUGGAACAGCAGACACAGGAGCAAAUCCUCUUCCCUCCAAUAACAGGACAACACACAGUUUUGGAGUGUAAACAGGAACAGACUGAGCUGGGGCUUUAUUGUUUAUUUUAUACACACAGGACACACAGGACAUAAAAUAGCAACAGCCAAUCAACAACGUACAGUACAGUCAGACACUCCCAGCAAAUACACACAAACCCUCCCCUCUGCCUGUGAUACAAUUAGCUCAACACAAUAGAUUAACUUAAUUAUCAAGGGCAAAAAAAUAUACUUUUUACACAUUUUCUAUAACUUCGUACAGAUCUGCAAUGUUAAUGUGGUGUUCGAAUAGUUGAACGCCGUUCGACUCAAUUCGAAAUGUGAAUGUCCCAAAAGAAGGUAAAACUUCAGCGGUGUUCGUGCCAUCGAGUAUCCGAUUUUAGUUCCAUGAACUCAACGGCAAGACACCGCUGACCGCAUCGGCUGAAUUAAAAUGGCCGCAGCCACGUGUUCGUUUGUCAAAUGGCGGCCACUUUGACUACUUCAGCACUUCGGCUGCAUCCGAAGUGCCAUUUACAAAGUACAAAUCCUGGAACUAGACAUAUAUGGUAUUAAGUGUCGUUUUAAGCAUCAGGCAUUUCCUGAGUCCAAGUUAGCCAAUUUUAAUAUAGGAUAUCAUUAUAUGACACCUAUAAGCUUGAGCCUUGGAAUCAAGAUAAAUUCUAUCACAAUCCCCUCUUUUGAUCCAAGGGUCAUCCAAAUGUCCAAGGUAUAUCCAGGCCUGCUAGCCAAAGCCUGUGGGACUUUCAUUUAUUGCUUCACCAUCGUUCCCUUGGACUGAGAGACCACCAGAAUCAGCAGAGGAGAGUUCCUUCAUUUGUUAGGUGAGGUAACAUCAUAAAACCCUUCCAAAGUCAGAGCUGGAAUGUAAGUUAAGGUAUGACCAACAGUAGGUUUGUUUUUACAUAGAGAGGUUAGUAGACAUGAGAAAAAUCUAAAGGUUAGAAAAAUGUCCAUAAUGACAAAUACAGCUAAUAGCAAGAAGUACGAAAUUUUCUUAAUUAGUAAAGUCAACUAUUUUCAAUGUCCAAUCCCAAUCCCCAAAGAAGCCAGUAUCCUGUUUGAUAUCCUGUACUAAGCCAUGUAAAAAAAAUGUAUGUUUAUGGAUCAUAGUGCCAUGGUCAGAUAGGUUAAAACAACACAUGUUUCAUUAGUAAGUAUUCAAUGGUUGCUCAUUCUCAAGGAUUGCUUUCUUAUUUGCCUGGGUGUCUGUUACAGAGAUCCCCCUCUGGCUGCUACAGGAUACCUACUUUGAUGUUACAAUAGAUACUUUUUAUUUUUCUAUUUAUAUGAACGAGCUUUCUUUCCCAUUCAUAUGUAUGAACAGCCCACAAUUAACCUCAGUCACCCUCCAGUAACCGAAAGAAUCGUCGAACGAUCGAACACCCUACGUGAGGAGUGUGGCAACACUUAACCUCCCAGAAGUUGCGGUUUGUGGUUAACCGCAGCCUAAUUGACAAUCAUCAGGGUGGUCCCCGUUCAUAUACAAUUGACCAAACGAAGUACCGAACCAGCUCACGAAAGAACUGUCGAACGACGACCACCUAGGCACUGGCGUGUGUCUCCAAUUAAGCUGUGGGUUCUGUGGUUAACCAUUCAUAUGCUGAACACAAGGCUGCGGCAAUCCUUUUGUCGUCGAAUACUCAGCGAGACUUAAGCGUAAAACCCCUGGAACUAUAAUCG